UGCCAAGUACAUAAAACCAAGCUCAGGUAUACAUCGCCGUCGUAUGUUCCCUACGGAGUACCAAGGUCAGGUACACAUCACCGCCGUUUGUUCCCUACGGAGGUAUAUGCGGCACAUGACGAUUGCCUCAGUGAAGAAAUGAUUUCGCAUAUUCGUCUGCUUCGACGUGCAAACUGAGCAGGUGAUUGCAGUUCUGAGUUAUGCAUACGACAAAGGCUUACUUGCACCGUGGAUUGGCAGGGCAUGGUGGCACAGUGCAAAUACGACAUUACAGAGAAAGCUCGAAGAACAAUCUGUUCUAGUUUUCUCUAAUAUGCCUCCAAGUCCUACUAUUUGCAGUCUGCAUAAGAUAAUUAUUGGCUGGUGGCAUUGCACAAGAUACUUCAAAUUUCAUUAGCACAAACUUUUGGAUGGCAUAUAUAUCUCCUCUCUCUCUCUCUCUCUCCAGAUUCUGCACAAUGCAGAGAUUGGCAUGAG
rnacentral:lncRNA from 1 species